GGCCUUGUAGUUUAAUGGAUAAAACAAUUGCCUUCUAAGCAGUGGUUCCAAGUUCGAUUCUUGGCAGGGCUACCA
rnacentral:tRNA from 1 species